CAGGGAAAUGGGAAGAACUAGA
rnacentral:miRNA from 1 species